rnacentral:rRNA from 1 species
CAGCCGCCACGGGAAUACAGAGGGUGCGAGCGUUAAUCGGAUUUACUGGGCGUAAAGCGUGCGUAGGCGGCUAAUUGAGUCGGAUGUGAAAUCCCCGAGCUUAACUUGGGAAUUGCAUUCGAUACUGGUUAGCUAGAGUGUGGGAGAGGAUGGUAGAAUUCCAGGUGUAGCGGUGAAAUGCGUAGAGAUCUGGAGGAAUACCGAUGGCGAAGGCAGCCAUCUGGCCUAAUACUGACGCUGAGGUACGAAAGCAUGGGGAGCAAACAGGAUUAGAUACCCCAGUAGUCCCUGUCUCUUAUAC